rnacentral:rRNA from 1 species
UACAGAGGUCUCAAGCGUUGUUCGGAUCCAUUGGGCGUAAAGGGUGCGUAGGCGGCGCGGUAAGUCGGGUGUGAAAUCUCGGAGCUUAACUCCGAAACUGCAUUCGAUACUGCCGUGCUUGAGGACUGGAGAGGAGACUGGAAUUUACGGUGUAGCGGUGAAAUGCGUAGAUAUCGUAAGGAAGACCAGUGGCGAAGGCGGGUCUCUGGACAGUUCCUGACGCUGAGCACGAAGGCCAGGGGAGCAAACGGG